rnacentral:rRNA from 1 species
GACGAACGCUGGCGGCGUGCCUAAUACAUGCAAGUAGAACGCACAGUUUAUACCGUAGCUUGCUACACCAUAGACUGUGAGUUGCGAACGGGUGAGUAACGCGUAGGUAACCUGCCUGGUAGCGGGGGAUAACUAUUGGAAACGAUAGCUAAUACCGCAUAAUAUUAAUUAUUGCAUGAUAAUUAAUUGAAAGGUGCAAUUGCACCACUACCAGAUGGACCUGCGUUGUAUUAGCUAGUAGGUGAGGUAACGGCUCACCUAGGCGACGAUACAUAGCCGACCUGAGAGGGUGAUCGGCCACACUGGGACUGAGACACGGCCCAGACUCCUACGGGAGGCAGCAGUAGGGAAUCUUCGGCAAUGGACGAAAGUCUGACCGAGCAACGCCGCGUGAGUGAAGAAGGUUUUCGGAUCGUAAAGCUCUGUUGUAAGAGAAGAACGGGUGUGAGAGUGGAAAGUUCACACUGUGACAGUAUCUUACCAGAAAGGGACGGCUAACUACGUG